rnacentral:rRNA from 1 species
UACGUAGGGCGCAAGCGUUGUCCGGAAUUAUUGGGCGUAAAGAGCUCGUAGGCGGUUUGUCGCGUCUGCUGUGAAAACCUAAGGCUCAACCUUGGGCUUGCAGUGGGUACGGGCAGACUAGAGUGCGGUAGGGGGUGACUGGAAUUCCUGGUGUAGCGGUGGAAUGCGCAGAUAUCAGGAGGAACACCGAUGGCGAAGGCAGGUCACUGGGCCGCAACUGACGCUGAGGAGCGAAAGCCAUGGGGGAGCGAACAGG